UAGCAUCACAAGUAUUAGAGGCAA
rnacentral:piRNA from 1 species